rnacentral:pre_miRNA from 1 species
AGAGGAAUUGCUGGGUCAUGUGGUAGGUGUAUUUUAAUUUUUUGAGGAAUCUUCAUAAUGUUUUCCAUAAUGGCUAUACCAGUUUAUGUUUCUGCCAGCAGU